rnacentral:rRNA from 1 species
AUUGAACGCUGGCGGCAUGCCUUACACAUGCAAGCCGAACGGUAACAGGUCUUCGGAUGCUGACGAGUGGCGAACGGGUGAGUAAUACAUCGGAACGUGCCUAGUAGUGAGGGAUAACUACUCGAAAGAGUGGCUAAUACCGCAUGAGAUCUACGGAUGAAAGCAGGGGAUCGCAAGACCUUGUGCUACUAGAGCGGCCGAUGGCAGAUUAGGUAGUUGGUGGGAUAAAAGCUUACCAAGCCGACGAUCUGUAGCUGGUCUGAGAGGACGAUCAGCCACACUGGGACUGAGACACGGCCCAGACUCCUACGGGAGGCAGCAGUGGGGAAUUUUGGACAAUGGGCGCAAGCCUGAUCCAGCAAUGCCGCGUGCAGGAUGAAGGCCUUCGGGUUGUAAACUGCUUUUGUACGGAACGAAAAGCCCUGGGUUAAUACCCUGGGGUCAUGACGGUACCGUAAGAAUAAGCACCGGCUAACUACGUGCCAGCAGCCGCUGUAAGAC